UACGAAGGGGGCUAGCGUUGCUCGGAAUCACUGGGCGUAAAGCGCACGUAGGCGGACUCUUAAGUCGGUGGUGAAAUCCUGGAGCUCAACUCCAGAACUGCCUUCGAUACUGAGAGUCUUCGAGUCCGGGAGAGGUGAGUGGAACUGCGAGUGUAGAGGUGAAAUUCGUAGAUAUUCGCAAGAACACCAGUGGCGAAGGCGGCUCACUGGCCCGGUACUGACGCUGAG
rnacentral:rRNA from 1 species